AGAGUUUGAUCCUGGCUCAGAUUGAACGCUGGCGGCAGGCCUAACACAUGCAAGUCGAACGGUAACAGGAAACAGCUUGCUGUUUCGCUGACGAGUGGCGGACGGGUGAGUAAUGUCUGGGAAACUGCCUGAUGGAGGGGGAUAACUACUGGAAACGGUAGCUAAUACCGCAUAACGUCGCAAGACCAAAGAGGGGGACCCUCGGGCCUCUUGCCAUCGGAUGUGCCCAGAUGGGAUUAGCUUGUUGGUGGGGUAACGGCUCACCAAGGCGACGAUCCCUAGCUGGUCUGAGAGGAUGACCAGCCACACUGGAACUGAGACACGGUCCAGACUCCUACGGGAGGCAGCAGUGGGGAAUAUUGCACAAUGGGCGCAAGCCUGAUGCAGCCAUGCCGCGUGUAUGAAGAAGGCCUUCGGGUUGUAAAGUACUUUCAGCGGGGAGGAAGGGAGUAAAGUUAAUACCUUUGCUCAUUGACGUUACCCGCAGAAGAAGCACCGGCUAACUCCGUGCCAGCAGCCGCGGUAAUACGGAGGGUGCAAGCGUUAAUCGGAAUUACUGGGCGUAAAGCGCACGCAGGCGGUUUGUUAAGUCAGAUGUGAAAUCCCCGGGCUCAACCUGGGAACUGCAUCUGAUACUGGCAAGCUUGAGUCUCGUAGAGGGGGGGUAGA
rnacentral:rRNA from 1 species